AGAGUUUGAUCCUGGCUCAGGACGAACGCUGGCGGCGUGCCUAAUGCAUGCAAGUCGAACGCAGCAGCUUCGGCUGGCUGCGUGGCGAACGGCUGAGGAACACGUGGGUGACCUGCCCCAGAGUGGGGGAUACCCCGUCGAAAGACGGGAUAAUCCCGCAUACGCUCUACGGAGGAAAGCCCCUACGGGCGCUCUGGGAGGGGCCUGCGGCCCAUCAGGUUGUUGGUGUGGUAACGGCGCACCAAGCCACUGACGGGUACCCGGUCUGAGAGGACGGCCGGGCAGACUGGGACUGCGACACGGCCCAGACUCCUACGGGAGGCAGCAGCAAGGAAUUUUCCCCAAUGGGCGCAAGCCUGAGGGAGCAACGCCGCGUGGAGGACGACGGCCUUCGGGUUGUAAACUCCUUUCGGGUGGGACGACUCCGACGGUACCACCAGAAGCAGCCCCGGCUAACUCUGUGCCAGCAGCCGCGGUAAGACAGAGGGGGCAAGCGUUGUCCGGAGUUACUGGGCGUAAAGGGCGCGGAGGCGGUCUGCGGCGUCGGCGCUGAAAGCGCCCCGCUUAACGGGGCGAGGCGUGCCGAUACGCGCAGACUUGAGGCGAGCAGAGGGUGGUGGAAUUCCGGGUGGAGCGGUGAAAUGCGUAGAGAUCCGGAGGAACGCCAGUGGGGAAGCCGGCCACCUGGGCUCGGCCUGACGCUGCGGCGCGACCGCGUGGGGAGCAAACCGGAUUAGAUACCCGGGUAGUCCACGCCGUAAACGAUGCCAGCUCGGCGUGUACACACGGUUGUGCGCUGCGUGCCUUAGCUCACGCGAUAGGCUACCGCCUGGGGACUACGAGCGCAAGCUUGCAUGCCUGCAGGUCGACUCUAGAGGUCCCUAAACGUUACUUAAUAACGGCAUCU
rnacentral:rRNA from 1 species